rnacentral:rRNA from 1 species
GGGCCGCGGUAAUUUGACCGUGCAAAGGUAGCAUAAUAGUUAGUUUUUUAAUUGAAAUCUUGUAUGAAUGGUUGGACAAAAGAAAAACUGUCUCUAUAAUUUUUAUUGAAUUUAACUUUUAAGUGAAAAGGCUUAAAUUAUUUAAAAAGACGAUAAGACCCUAUAAAGCUUUAUAAUUAAUUAUAUUUAAUUGAAUUAAAAAUAAUCAUUUAGUAUAAAAAAUUAUUUUGUUGGGGAGAUAGUAUUAUAAUUUAAAAUAACUGAAGAUAGUUAAUACAAUAAUUGGUGUAUGAAAUCAUAGUAGAUCCUAAUAUAUGGAUUAAAAGUUCAAGUUACUUUAGGGAUAACAGCGUUAUUUUUUUUGAGAGUUCAUAUCGAAAGAAAAGAUUGCGACCUCGAUGUUGAAUUAAAAUUUCUAAAUAAUUGUAGAAGUUAUUUGAGAAGGUCUGUUCGACCUUUAAAAUUUUA